rnacentral:rRNA from 1 species
GACGAACGCUGGCGGCGUGCUUAACACAUGCAAGUCGAACGGAAAGGCCCUGCUUUUGUGGGGUGCUCGAGUGGCGAACGGGUGAGUAACACGUGAGUAACCUGCCCUUGACUUUGGGAUAACUUCAGGAAACUGGGGCUAAUACCGGAUAGGAGCUCCGGCUGCAUGGUGGGGGUUGGAAAGUUUGGGCGGUUGGGGGUGGACUCGCGGCUUAUCAGCUUGUUGGUGGGGUAGUGGCUUACCAAGGCUUUGACGGGUAGCCGGCCUGAGAGGGUGACCAGCCACAUUGGGACUGAGAUACGGCCCAGACUCCUACGGGAGGCAGCAGUGGGGAAUAUUGCACAAUGGGCGGAAGCCUGAUGCAGCAACGCCGCGUGCGGGAUGACGGCCUUCGGGUUGUAGACCGCUUUCGCCUGUGACGAAGCGUGAGUGACGGUAAUGGGUAAAGAAGCACCGGCUAACUACGUG